rnacentral:rRNA from 1 species
GAUGAACGCUGGCGGCGUGCCUAAUACAUGCAAGUCGAGCGAACAGAUAAGGAGCUUGCUCCUUUGACGUUAGCGGCGGACGGGUGAGUAACACGUGGGUAACCUACCUAUAAGACUGGGAUAACUUCGGGAAACCGGAGCUAAUACCGGAUAACAUUUUGAACCGCAUGGUUCUAAAGUGAAAGAUGGUUUUGCUAUCACUUAUAGAUGGACCCGCGCCGUAUUAGCUAGUUGGUAAGGUAACGGCUUACCAAGGCAACGAUACGUAGCCGACCUGAGAGGGUGAUCGGCCACACUGGAACUGAGACACGGUCCAGACUCCUACGGGAGGCAGCAGUAGGGAAUCUUCCGCAAUGGGCGAAAGCCUGACGGAGCAACGCCGCGUGAGUGAUGAAGGGUUUCGGCUCGUAAAACUCUGUUAUUAGGGAAGAACAAACGUGUAAGUAACUGUGCACGUCUUGACGGUACCUAAUCAGAAAGCCACGGCUAACUACGUG